rnacentral:tRNA from 1 species
GCCUGGGUGGCUCAGUCAGUUAAGCGUCUGACUUCAGCUCAGGUCGUGAUCUCACAGUUCGUGGGUUCAAGCCCCGCGUCGGGCU